rnacentral:rRNA from 1 species
CCUACGGGUGGCAGCAGUGAGGAAUAUUGGUCAAUGGACGAGAGUCUGAACCAGCCAAGUAGCGUGAAGGAUGACUGCCCUAUGGGUUGUAAACUUCUUUUAUAUGGGAAUAAAAUGUUCCACGUGUGGGUUUUUGUAUGUACCAUAUGAAUAAGGAUCGGCUAACUCCGUGCCAGCAGCCGCGGUAAUACGGAGGAUCCGAGCGUUAUCCGGAUUUAUUGGGUUUAAAGGGAGCGUAGAUGGAUUGUUAAGUCAGUUGUGAAAGUUUGCGGCUCAACCGUAAAAUUGCAGUUGAAACUGGCAGUCUUGAGGACAGUAGAGGUGGGCGGAAUGCGUGGUGUAGCGGUGAAAUGCUUAGAUAUCACGAAGAACUCCGAUUGCGAAGGCAGCUCACUGGACUGCAACUGACACUGAGGCUCGAAAGUGUGGGUAUCAAACAGGAUUAGAUACCCUAGUAGUC